ACGCUAUCACUCCUACGGGAGGCAGCAGUGAGGAAUAUUGGUCAAUGGGCGCAAGCCUGAACCAGCCAUGCCGCGUGCAGGAUGACGGUCCUGAUGGAGUUGUAAAACUGCUUUUGUACGGGAAGAAACACUCCUUCGUGAAGGAGCUUGACGGUACCGUAAGAAUAAGGAUCGGCUAACUCCGUGCCAGCAGCCGCGGUAAUACGGAGGAUCCAAGCGUUAUCCGGAAUCAUUGGGUUUAAAGGGUCCGUAGGCGGUUUUAUAAGUCAGUGGUGAAAUCCGGCAGCUCAACUGUCGAACUGCCAUUGAUACUGUAGAACUUGAAUUAUUGUGAAGUAACUAGAAUAUGUAGUGUAGCGGUGAAAUGCUUAGAGAUUACAUGGAAUACCAAUUGCGAAGGCAGGUUACUAACAAUAUAUUGACGCUGAUGGACGAAAGCGUGGGUAGCGAACAGGAUUAGAUACCCUGGUAG
rnacentral:rRNA from 1 species